AGUUCACGAUAGGGACAUAAUCUAAGCAUUUCCUUAAAUAAUUCACAUGCUUCGUAGAGCAAUUCCUCGUAUUUUUGAGUAAAAUUAGUUAUUUGGUUUCUAAGUU